rnacentral:rRNA from 1 species
UACAGAGGUCUCAAGCGUUGUUCGGAAUCACUGGGCGUAAAGGGUGCGUAGGCUGCGUGGAAAGUCAGAUGUGAAAUCCGGGGGCUCAACCCCCGAAUAGCAUCCGAUACUUCCAUGCUAGAGGGUUGUAGGGGAGCUUGGAAUUCUCGGUGUAGCAGUGAAAUGCGUAGAUAUCGAGAAGAACGCUCGCGGCGAAGGCGAGGCUCUGGGCAACAUCUGACGCUGAUGCACGAAGGCUAGGGGAG